CUGGAGCAAAUUUGAAAUAAAGUGUCUUGCUCAAGAACACAACACACAGCCUGGACUGGGAAUCGAACUCACUACAUCAUGGUUGUGAACCCGACGCUUUAACCACUGGGUCAUGCGCCUGAACAAAGGCCAAAUGUAUUAUAU